AUUAGCUAGUUGGUGAGGUAAAGGCCCACCAAGGCGACGAUGGGUAUCCGGCCUGAGAGGGUGAUCGGACACAUUGGGACUGAGAUACGGCCCAAACUCCUACGGGAGGCAGCAGCUAAGAAUAUUCCGCAAUGGACGGAAGUCUGACGGAGCGACGCCGCGUGGAUGAAGAAGGCUGAAAAGUUGUAAAAUCCUUUUGUUGAUGAAGAAUAAGGGUGAGAGGGAAUGCUCAUCUGAUGACGGUAAUCGACGAAUAAGCCCCGGCUAAUUACGUGCCAGCAGCCGCGGUAACACGUAAGGGGCGAGCGUUGUUCGGAAUUAUUGGGCGUAAAGGGCAUGUAGGCGGUUAUGUAAGCCUGAUGUGAAAUCCUGGGGCUUAACCCUAGAAUAGCAUUGGGUACUGUGUAACUUGAAUUACGGAAGGGAAACUGGAAUUCCAAGUGUAGGGGUGGAAUCUGUAGAUAUUUGGAAGAACACCGGUGGCGAAGGCGGGUUUCUGGCCGAUAAUUGACGCUGAGAUGCGAAAGUGUGGGGAUCGAACAGGAUUAGAUACCCUGGUAGUCCACACCGUAAACGAUGUACACUAGGUGUUGGGGCAAGAGCUUCAGUGCCAAAGCAAACGCGAUAAGUGUACCGCCUGGGGAGUAUGCCCGCAAGGGUGAAACUCAAAGGAAUUGACGGGGGCCCGCACAAGCGGUGGAGCAUGUGGUUUAAUUCGAUGGUACGCGAGGAACCUUACCUGGGUUUGACAUCUAGUAGAAGGUCUUAGAGAUAAGGCCGGGUAGCAAUACCCUGCUAGACAGGUGCUGCAUGGCUGUCGUCAGCUCGUGCCGUGAGGUGUUGGGUUAAGUCCCGCAACGAGCGCAACCCCUACUGCCAGUUACUAACAGGUAAAGCUUGAGGACUCUGGCGGAACUG
rnacentral:rRNA from 1 species